rnacentral:rRNA from 1 species
CCCUUAGAUGUUCUGGGCUGCACGCGUGCUACAAUGGCGUUUCCAGCAAGUCUGCGAACCCGAGAGGGCCAGCGGAUCUUCGAAUUGGCGUCGUGAUCGGGACAGUCGAUUGCAAUUAUUUGACUCAAACGAGGAGUUCCUUGUAAUCGCGAUUCAUCAUAUCGCGCUGAAUACGUCCCUGCCCUUUGUACACACCGCCCGUCGCUCCUACCGAUUGAGCGAUCCGGUAAAUGUUUUGGAUUGGUGCCGGGGCGGCUAGCUGCCGGUCGCUACGAAAUUUUGUGAACCUUAUCGCUUAGAGGAAGGAAAAGUCGUAACA